rnacentral:rRNA from 1 species
GCUCGGCAGUAACAAGGCUGAAGACUACUAUUAGCCCGCCAGAUUAUUACAAGUGAAAACUUAAAACUCAAAGGACUUGACGGUGCCCCACACAACCUAGAGGAGCCUGUCCCAUAAUCGAUGGCCCACGAAAACCUUUCCGUCUUUUGCCAAGCAACCUAUAUACCGCCGUCGGAAGUCCACCUUGUGAAAGAAAAAAAGUGGGCGCAAUAGCCAAACGCAAAGACGUCAGGUCAAGGUGUAGUUUAUGAGACGGUCGGAGAUGGGCUACAUUUCCUUUUUAGGACAUACGGACAGCCUCAUGAAAACCGGCUCGAAGGAGGAUUUAGUAGUAAAAUUGGAACAGCAAGCCUAUUUGAACAAACUGCCCUGGGGUGCGU